CACACGCACGCACGACUGCCUGCAUGAUCAAAAAGCUAACGCGGUUUUCUGCUUUACCGAGAGAAAUCCCCUGCCCACGGCUCGUCGCUGCCCGGCUGGCACCGAGCAAAGCCCGCUGUCAGCCGUGCGGAGCCGGGAGCCGGGAGCCGGAGCGGGAGAGCCCCGGGCGGCGGUCACCAAGGCACGUGGCCGCGCCCCGGGCGCCGCUGCCAGCCCCGCGUCGCCCGGGGACACUGGCAUCGAGACGGGCACGGCAGCGCUACGCUACUACAGCCUGUCAUUUAAGGAGCUCGGGCAAACGCCACAACAUCUCGUCUAACCGUAGAGAGUAAUAACACGUAUCAUCUGCGGUAAUCCGACCGUGAGAAAGCAGGGAUAACACCUGCCACAAUCUCAACAGUCCGGGCGUGUGACUGUUAUCAGACAUCGGGGGACGCCGGGCGCGGCAGCCGCCCCGUGCCCGUGCCCGUGCCCGUGCCCGGGGCGGGGGUGAGGCGGAGGGAGCGCGGCGGUGCCGGGCUGGGCGCGCUGCUCGGCGCGGGGACUUCCCCUGGAGCCGCUGCAGUGGUUUUCACCAGUCCUUAAAUAAAUUCUGAAGUAAUCGCGUCUGCCUCCUCUGCCUCACGCACGCGGCUCCCCAGAUGCUGCUGCCGCUGCUUCGCGGCUCGCUCGGCGUUAAUUCCCUCACGCCCACUCCUAAGCAAAAGAAAAAAAAUAAAAAUAAAAAGGGGACACCAGGGCGUGACCUGGAUGUUCUGCGGCGCUGCCUCCAGCCCCUAAAAUUCCCCCGCCGACAGCAGUGCGGCCCCCGGGCGGCUCGGAGGGGCUGGAGGGGCUGCAGCGCCCGAGCCCCCCGGCGCCGCCUCCGGGGCUGCCCCCGCGCCUCCCGGCGCGCCCCUGGCAGCCCGGCAGCGGCCGGGAAAAUAGGGGCGGCGAGGUGGGACAGUGGUGGGUGUCCCUGGAACCUGGCGUUGUGAAUGAACGAGUACCAGCCGGCGUAUUCACAGCCGGCUUGAGGAUGUUUGUUCAGCCCAGUCUGAGGAUAUGCAGAUACAUACAGUGGAAUUGUACAAGUACUCACGUGGGCUGAGGUGACAGCAGUGUCAGCUUUCUUGUUGCUACAUCUGCAGAACUCGGCUUGGAUGACACCGACUCCAUGUGGUCAGCAUCUGUGGGCAUGACUAGAGGAUGGGCUAGUAACAGAAAUCAAGGUUAAAAGUAGGAUGAAAAAGAAGAUUAAUUGUUUGAAUAUGAAAAAUAGAGAAUUGAAUUGCUCAGUUGAAAACGACAUGAAGUAAAAAUGGACAAAAGAAAGAAUAAAAAAUAGAAAAAACUGUAGCAAAUGAAAGAAGAAACUAGUUAGUGUGACAACAUGAGAAGGCCUAUUUCCUAAUCCAGCAAUAAAAAUGUUGUGAGCUUUGAGCUAAGAUAUUUUACUUCAUGAAAGUAUCAAUUCAUUCUUUUUAAAAUCAUAUAUCUUUAGACAAGAUAAUUUGGUUGUACAUAGCAAAGGUGAAACAGUUUGAUGCAUUUCAAUUUUUGUCUGAGGUGUUUUAGUAUUGUUUAUUUUCUGUAGUCUAAUGUGAAUGAAGUAUUUGCAUCUCAAAAUUGGACUUUUUUUUCCCUAUGCACUAAAGAAAAGCUUUUUAGUUAGGCUGUGGUCAUAGAACAAUGCAGCCUUUGUUGUUCUGUGAUGUUUUAUUCCCUUAGGAGGAUAGAACCUUAGGUUGGAGGUAUGAAAAAUGCUGUUCUUUAAACCCAACAUCAGUCACACAUCUACAGAGUUCUUUAUUUCUUUUUCCACCCUGUGGACACGUGGAAAUAUUUGAUCUCAAGUUCUGAAGAAAAUUUGGAAAGAGCAUUAAGGAAAAGGUUUAAUCUUUGGAAUACCUAUGUAAAUGUUUCCUGUCUGUAGUUUCCCUAAGGAAAAAUUGAAUUUAAAUUGGGAAAGCUGAAAAAAAAAUUAUUUCAGGACAGGAAAUACAAAUUACAAUGAAACUAAUAUAUCUUCAUUAAAAUAAAAUUAUCAAAAAUAAUAUUAUUACAGCAAGAACAAUAAAAGUAAAUAUAAAAGCAAGUGAAAUUUUUAGAAAUAAAUAAGUGAACUAAUAACUUGUAAUUCAGGCAAAUUUUGUGACCUGUUAAGAAAUGGUCAUGGAAAUACAUCUGUAAAAAUAACAUUGUGGAUAUUGCAUUUCUUGUCACUGCUUAAUAUCCCUUGUCAAAUGAGAAUUGCUUGAAAACUGGACAGUGUUAGACAUGGCUGGGAGGAGCAUGAGAAAGCAUAAAUGUUCUCAGUUGGAAUUAUAAGCAAGCAAUAUCUCCUUGAGUCAUGCUACUACCAAUAAUAAAUAUUUAACAGCUGGAAUUUAACAAGUUGGCCUUGUCUAGAUACAACAUUUGCACUGUUGCAACAUUUGCACUGUAAAAUUUGAAAUUUUAUCUUAUAUCUUUAGCUGAACAAUAUAGAAAAUUAGAUUAUAUGAAGGACUCUUAAUAGUUGUGGCUAUAACAAGACUGGAUCUAAGAAUAAAUUUUUAAAGCAAUCCUAAACAAAGAAGGAGCUAUACCUGGACCAAAGGAGGAAAAUAUUUUCAUGUUUAACUCUAUAAUGCAGAAUUUUUUUCAUUACUUAAAAAUCUCUGUAUUAAAUGUAUGGGUUAUGAGAUAAAUUUUAUGUUUAAAUUCUGUUACUAAAUCUGUUGAAGUAAAUUAUUCUCUCAUGUUGGUAUACAUUAGAAUUAUACCCAGGAAUGGAUAUCUUAUUCAGUAGGUUGAUCACAGUAGCAAGAGAUGAAAUAAAAAGGAAUUUCAUGUGGUUUAUGCUUAUAUGCAGCUGGAAGAAAUAUAAAUCUUAGGAUAAUUUGCAGUUCAAAAAAUCCAAGCAGCUCCUUGCAGGAUGUGAGAAUGAUUUGGAAUAGAAAUCAGAGUGACUAGUAGAUGUUUUAAUCACAGAAAAACUUAUUUCUUUCAAGAUUGACUUCCUUUCUGCAGUGUUUUAUGAAUUGUACAAAUGGGUUUAUUUGGAUGUAUUUGGUUGUCGUUUCUGAUGUUUGGAAUGAGAGCAGCAAAUGAUAGGCUGAAACAAACCUCCCUUUGUAAUUUGCAGAGGCUUUAAGAGAUUUCCCAUUGUUGUUGUUAUUAUUAUUUCGUUGUAUUGGGAGACUGUGGUUAACUACAGAAUCACAGGAUAGUUAUGGUUGGAAAAGACCUCUAAGAUCACUGAGUCCCGCCACUGACAUAGCAGUUCCCCGUCCACCCAUAAACCAUGUCCUUAAGCAUCACAAAGUCAACUUUAUCAAUAGAAAUAAAAACCCAAUUUUUUAUUAUUUCUGCAACUUUCCCAUACAAAAAGCCAUAUAACAUGAAAAAAAUUCAUUUUCCUAAAUUUGUAUUGCAUUAUUUAAACAGAAUUAUGUAUACAGGGCUAUAUCUGCCUUUGGAUCAUUUAAGGAUCCAAAAAAGGAAGUGUCCAUUAAGUGUAAGGCCUUAAUAUGUCCUCUAUAUAUUAACUUAAUAGAACUUAAUGUGUUCUAGAUUAUGUUGCAAUAUAUUUUGGUAGAGCAACACUAUUCACAUUGAUUAAAAUUGGAUUUCAUAUUGUUUUUGUCAAGAUCUAAAGAGAGGUGGCAAAAAAUACUCUGAAAUCCCUGUCCUCUGCAAGCCCAGGAAUAAUUUCAAUUUAUGGACAAGAUUUACAAAAUAUUUAAGAUCUAAUUUAUAUUUCAAAGUCCCUAGCUCCACCUUGGAUUUAUGCACCAGUGGCUGUAUGUCAGUGAGCAGAUGAAAAGAUUACCGAAACACUGAUGCUGUCCCAGAGCCAAUAAAAUAAAACUGAUGGCACAGCUCAUGAACUUCUGAGGAGCAGAGCCUGGUCCUAUCAGAUUAUGUCAGAUGUGUUAUUCACCAAAUGUAGCAUAUAGGAGAGAAAUCUCCUGGGCAAAAGCCUGUGUCAAUUAUGAGUCCAUUUGAGGUGAGAGGUUUUGGAUCACAUUCCUCGUCUGCCUGAACCUGUAUUUUGGGCAAAUGUCCUAAGUUGAUCAAUGGGAAAAUGUAAAAUCUCAGUCUUCAUUAUUCUGCAACCGAGUGUUCUUUGGGCCAGAGCCAUAACACAGAGCCUAGAGUCCUCACCCGUGGUGCACUGAGACCAAAAUACCUCCCUGCCUCUUUUGGAUCUAAAACACUAAAGGAGUACAGAUAGAAUGAAUCUGAAAGAGGGUUGUCCUGUUCAGAUCUCCAAUGAUUUUCACACUGACUUUGGCAAUGAAGCCUUUGCUUCAAAUAGGACUUUUGCACUUUUGUAUGCCCGAGGAACUUUAACUGCUAAGGUAUUGACUAUUCCGUUGUACAUAAGGGUAUUUUCUUCAUAACAGAGUACAAAUUUCUGGACAACUAAUAAGAGAGGAUUUCUAUCAAGGUAUCUCAGUCAGAAAAAAUCAGCUAUCUGGCUAGAUUUAGACAUUGAUCAUAAAUAAAGAGUAGAUUAUUAGGUUUUCUGUUUUCUCAUUUCAAUUCAUGAUUGGCUUAAAGGGAUAAAUCAUUACUUUCAGAUUUUCCCUUCAGGCAAGUUGUUGCAUAACUUGACAGGCUGUGCACUCAAAUCAGAAAUGGCUAUUCUGUGAGAUGGAAGGAUAUUUGAGAUCAGGGUACUCAGAACUGCAUUAAUUGCAUUUUUUCGAUUGCUUCAGUAUAAUUUAUAAGUUUCUUUAAUGGCAAACGUUUUCCAGUCAAACCUACCUAAAACUUUACGACAAAACCUGAAUCUUGAUCUGCUUUUGCUGAUUUCCAGAGAUUUUAAAUAAUUUCUACAGAAUUAUAGCCAGGCUGAAUGUUAAAGGACAUGAACAGGUCUGAAAACCUGUAUGAGGUAGAAGUUCAGUGCCAGUUUGCAAGAUAACUAACAAUGAUGCUGUAUUAUUCAAAUUAGUAUUAUUACUGCAAUGCUGAAUAAUUUAGACUACUCAUUAAGACAUUGUGAAAAAUAAUGAACUGCUAAUGGAAGAAAUGUAAAUCACAGUAAAAAAACCUCUCACAGUAACAUCAUAGAUUGAUGUAAUACAAUUUUACAUUUUUAUUUGCAUAAUUAACAUAUAAAGUCAGCAUGGAUAUAAGUACAUCUAAUAAAAUAUAAUGCCUCUGAAAUUCACAAUGAAAAAAGGAGUACAGAUAGAAGUAACUCUGUAAUGGGAAUGUUUCAAUGAAGUGUAAUUGGGAAGAAAAUUCUUCGUAAUGCUUUUUGCCACCAUGUCACCUCUCUCAUGACUCUCCAUAAGGAUUGUCUAAGUGUGCAUUCAGAUUUAGUCAUGUGCUGAAUUCUGCCUAAUUAGGAAUUUGGUCCAUUUCAAAAUUCUCUGGCUUAUGUAGCAAUGCAGUUCAUCUACUUACCAGGACUCUCCCUCUUUUUUUUUAAUAGUUCCCUUCGUAUUUAACAUUAGCUGUUGAUACUUAAAAGAGGCUGCUUUGGACAGAGUGAUCACUUGCCUCACAAGGAGGGCUCUGCAGAUAUUGAGAUUUGGUUAAAAAACAAUAUUGAUGGCAUCUGCACUGUAUAAAUUUCUAAGAUAAUGUAGUUGUGUUGGAUGGAUUGGUGCAUUGGAUUUGCAUGGAAACAGGAGUGGCUUCUGUGAAAAGUUGACAGAAGCUUUCGCAUGUCCAACAGAGCCAAUUCCAGCUAGCUCUGGGAUAGCCCCACCCCUGGCCAAGGCCCAUCAGCAAUGGUGGUAGUGCCUCUGGAUAACAGAUUUAAAGAGAGGGAAAAACUGCUGGGCAGCAGCAGCCAGAAAGAGGAGUGAGAAUAUGCAAGAUCAGUAACACUGUGGGCACCAAGGUCAGUAAAAACGGCAGUGAGGAAGGAGGUGCUUCAGAGAUGGAGCAGAGAUUUCUCUGCAGCCUGUGCCUGACCAUGGUGAAGCAGGCUGUCGUCCUGAAACCCACAGAGAUACACAGUGCAGCAGAGAUCCACCUGUAGACCAUGGAGAGUGUGCCCGUCCUGCAGCAGGUUUGCUGGCAGGACUGGUGAUUGUGUGGGGAAUCGGUGCUGGAGCAGUGUGGUCCUGAAGGACUGCACUCUGUGUGAGGGACCCACGCUGGAGAUGUUCAGGGAGAACUGUGUCCCGUGGGAGGGACCCUGCAGUAGAGUAGGAGAAGAGUGUGAGGAGUCUUGCCCCUGAGGAAAGAGAAGCAUCAGAGAAGUGUGAUGAACCAACUGUAGCCCUUCUUCUCUGUCCCCCUACACCUCUUGCAAAGAAGAGGUGAAGAAAAUUGGGAUUAAAGUUAAGGCUGAGAAGAAGGAAGGGCUAGAAGCUCUUUAAAGAUUUUGUUUCAUGUCUCAUUGUACUCUGUUUUGAUUGUUAAUAAAUUAAUGUUACCAAAUCAAGUGUGUUUUGCCUAUGGUAAUAUUGGGUGAGUGACCUCUGCCUACCCUUAUCUCAACCCAGAAGUCUUUUGUUGUAUUUUUUCUCCCUGGCCCAGCUGAGCAGGGCAGGAAUAGAGCAGCUUGGGUGGCACUUGGUGUGCAGCCAGGGUCAACCCAUAACAAUUGGAUCUGCCUCAGCAGGUGAUCGGAGGCACUUUCUCCAUUGACUGGGAAUUCGGACAAGCUGGAUCAAUACCUUCCUGGAGCAGCCAUCUGUGUUUCUGCUGAGACAGUAUCUCUGUUAGUUCCCAGCUGAGAUGAGAAGAUUGCUGUGAAUCUACAGAUACUGGAUGAGCUCCUUGACUCAGGCAUCAGAGUGUGCUCUUGGAUCUCCAUGGCUUCCAGACCUGCUGGUGCAGGCCAGCUGGCUCAGAGCAUGUGUGCAAUGCACCCGUCACGUUCUACAUCUACCUGCAUAGGAACAUCCCCUUGAAUUGAAACCAACUCAGAAUAUCUGUGCAGUUCAUUUCCUCUAAGUCCUUUCUUUUACUACAUUAUGUUAAUUUCACAGAGGACCAAGUCAUGUCAUAGGUAGAAAUUUGGUUUCUUCACAAAACAU